rnacentral:rRNA from 1 species
GACGAACGCUGGCGGCGUGCUUAACACAUGCAAGUCGAGCGGCAAGGCCCUACGGGGUUCUCGAGCGGCGAACGGGUGGGUAACACGUGAAUAACCUGCUCCAGACCUUGGGAUACCCGGCGGAAAAGGGGGGUAAUACUGCGUACGAACCAGCUUCGCCCGGGGGCUGUGUGGAAAGGUUUUCGGUUUGGGAUGGGGUCGAGGCCUAGCAUCUUGUUGGUGGGGUGUUGGGGUACAAAGGCGAAGACGGGUAGCCGGCCUGAGAGGGUGACCGGCCACACUGGGACUGAGACACGGGCCAGACGCCUACGGGGGGCAGCAGUGGGGAAUAUUGCACAAUGGGCGGAAUCCGGAUGCAGCGACGCCGCGUGGGGGAUGACGGCCUGUGGGGUGUAAACAUCUUUCGGCUGGGACGAAGCGUAAGUGACGGUACCUGCAGAAGAAGCGCCGGCUAACUACGUG